GAUGAACGCUGGCGGCGUGCCUAAUACAUGCAAGUCGAGCGAACAGACGAGGAGCUUGCUCCUCUGACGUUAGCGGCGGACGGGUGAGUAACACGUGGAUAACCUACCUAUAAGACUGGGAUAACUUCGGGAAACCGGAGCUAAUACCGGAUAAUAUAUUGAACCGCAUGGUUCAAUAGUGAAAGACGGUUUUGCUGUCACUUAUAGAUGGAUCCGCGCCGCAUUAGCUAGUUGGUAAGGUAACGGCUUACCAAGGCAACGAUGCGUAGCCGACCUGAGAGGGUGAUCGGCCACACUGGAACUGAGACACGGUCCAGACUCCUACGGUAGGCAGCAGUAGGGAAUCUUCCGCAGUGGGCGAAAGCCUGACGGAGCAACGCCGCGUGAGUGAUGAAGGUCUUCGGAUCGUAAAACUCUGUUAUUAGGGAAGAACAAAUGUGUAAGUAACUAUGCACGUCUUGACGGUACCUAAUCAGAAAGCCACGGCUAACUACGUG
rnacentral:rRNA from 1 species